rnacentral:lncRNA from 1 species
GGGGUAUGCCCGCUCCGGGAAGUGGGGGCGGAGGGGGUAUGCCCGCUCCGGGUAGAGGGGGUGGAGGAGGUAUGCCCGCUCCGGGAAGAGGGGGAGGAGGGGGUAUGCCCGCUCCGGGAAGUGGGGGCGGAGGGGGUAUGCCCGCUCCGGGAAGUGGGGGAGGAGGGGGUAUGCCCGCUCCGGGUAGAGGGGGUGGAGGAGGUAUUCCUGCUCCGGGAAGAGGGGGAGGAAGGGGUAUGCCCGCUCCGGGAAGAGGAGGGGGAGGGGGUGGCAGCAUUUCUGUACCCUGCAGAGGAGGAGGUUGGGGAAUGGCUGUACUGGGCAGAGUAGGCACUGUCAUGCCAGGGAGAGGGGGAGGUGGGGGAGGCACCAUGCCCAGGCCAGGCAUGGAGCUGGAGGACUCUGUGCAAGGCAGAGGUGGUGGAGAUGGGAUGUUACAGCUGUUUUUAAAGGCAGAGGAAACAGAGUGUUCGUGGCUGGUUUGAAACUCGGUAGAAAUAGAAUGGGGCGGCUGUGACCCAGGCUGUCCUUGCCCAGCAGACCACAGAAGGGAUGGAGGUGGUGGAGGCUGUGAGAUGCUCUGUGUGGGCUGAUGGCUGUCGAGCUGGACUGAUAUUCGCCUUGGAGACACAAUCAAAGAAAUCUCUGAACAGAACUUUGUCUGAGGUCCACUUUCAGCCCCAGGGGGGCAUGGAGGACGCCCUGGCAGCCCAUCCACAGGAGGCAGUGUCAGCACCCCGCCCUCUUCCGUGGGGGAAGUCUGUAUCGAUUUCGCCUCUAAAAUCCUAUGAUGCCGUACUUCCUUUUCUUCUAACCUGAGAGCUUCGAGACAGACAUCGCCUGAGGCUGUCACUCCAUUCUCAAGCCCUUGAUGACCACUGGCCACCUCUGUGUCCAGGGCAGGAUACUGCCUCUCUAGUUCAGCUAUUUUGGUUCUCAGAUCCUCAAUAGUCUGUUCCAGCUGCUGAAUUACAGUGGCCUGUCCCUCAGACUUCAUGUCAACAACUUCCU